UGGGGAAUUUUGGACAAUGGGCGAAAGCCUGAUCCAGCAAUGCCGCGUGUGUGAAGAAGGCCUUCGGGUUGUAAAGCACUUUUGUCCGGAAAGAAAUGGCUCUGGUUAAUACCUGGGGUCGAUGACGGUACCGGAAGAAUAAGGACCGGCUAACUACUUGCCGGCAGCCGCGUUAAUACGUAGGGUCCAAGCGUUAAUCGGAAUUACUGGGGGUAACGAGUGCGCAGGCGGUUGUGCAAGACCGAUGUGAAAUCCCCGAGCUUAACUUGGGAAUUGCAUUGGUGACUGCACGGCUAGAGUGUGUCAGAGGGGGGUAGAAUUCCACGUGUAGCAGUGAAAUGCGUAGAGAUGUGGAGGAAUACCGAUGGCGAAGGCAGCCCCCUGGGAUAACACUGACGCUCAUGCACGAAAGCGUGGGGAGCAAACAGG
rnacentral:rRNA from 1 species